GAUGAUAUGCCUGAACAAUAGGACUAUUUUGAUAGAAUAGAAAAUGUAUUAUAUACUGUCAUCA
rnacentral:tRNA from 1 species